UACGUAGGUGGCAAGCGUUGUUCGGAAUUACUGGGCGUAAAGGGCGCGUAGGCGGUCCCGUCAGUCCCUUGUGAAAUCCCCCGGCUCAACUGGGGAACUGCAAGGGAUACAGCGGGGCUUGAGUUCGGGAGAGGGAAGCGGAAUUCCGGGUGUAGCGGUGAAAUGCGUAGAUAUCCGGAGGAACACCGGUGGCGAAGGCGGCUUCCUGGACCGAUACUGACGCUGAGGCGCGAAAGCUAGGGGAGCAAACGGG
rnacentral:rRNA from 1 species